rnacentral:rRNA from 1 species
UACAGAGGUCUCAAGCGUUGUUCGGAUUCAUUGGGCGUAAAGGGUGCGUAGGCGGCGCGGUAAGUCGGGUGUGAAAUUUCGAGGCUUAACUUCGAAACUGCAUUCGAUACUGCCGUGCUUGAGGACUGGAGAGGAGACUGGAAUUUACGGUGUAGCGGUGAAAUGCGUAGAUAUCGAUAAGGAAGACCAGUGGCGAAGGCGGGUCUCUGGACAGUUCUGACGCUGAGGCACGAAGGUCAGGGAGCAAACGGG